rnacentral:rRNA from 1 species
UACAGAGGGGGCAAGCGUUGUUCGGAAUUACUGGGCGUAAAGGGCGCGUAGGUGGCCUUCUAAGUCGAACGUGAAAUCCCUGGGCUCAACCCAGGAACUGCGUCCGAGACUGGGAGGCUUGAAUCCGGGAGAGGGAUGCGGAAUUCCAGGUGUAGCGGUGAAAUGCGUAGAUAUCGGGAGGAACACCAGUGGCGAAGGCGGUUCUCUGGGCCUUACCUGACGCUGAGACGCGAAAGCGUGGGGAGCGAACAGG